rnacentral:rRNA from 1 species
UACGUAGGGGGCAAGCGUUGUCCGGAAUCAUUGGGCGUAAAGCGCGUGUAGGCGGUCCGGUAAGUCCGCUGUGAAAGUCGAGGGCUCAACCCUCGAAUGCCGGUGGAUACUGUCGGGCUUGAGUACGGGAGAGGCGAGUGGAAUUCCUGGUGUAGCGGUGAAAUGCGCAGAUAUCAGGAAGAACACCAACGGCGAAGGCAGCUCGCUGGGACGGUACUGACGCUGAGACGCGAAAGCGUGGGGAGCGAACAGG